rnacentral:rRNA from 1 species
UACAGGGGGAGCAAGCGUUAUCCGGAAUAAUUGGGCGUAAAGCGUCUGUAGGUGGUUCAAAAAGUCUACUGUCAAAUACGUUGGCUCAACCAACGGCAGGCAGUGGAGUACUGUUGAACUAGAGUGUGGUAGAGGUAAAGGGAAUCCCUAGCGUAACAGUGAAAUGUGUAGAUUUUAGGGAGAACACCAGCGGCGAAGGCGCUUUACUGGGCCACGACUGACACUGAGAGACGAAAGCUAAGGGAGCGAAAAGG